rnacentral:rRNA from 1 species
CCUGCGGAAGGAUCAUUCACACGUAUCCAACCAUCUCACUGUGAACCUCCUUUGUGAGCUUCCGUGCGGGGAUAGGGGCUUUUGCCGCUUCCUGGUCGGGAGCUCGCGGGUAGUGGAUCAGCUUAAGUGGGCUCUGUCUUCCUUUUGCUGUGAAGCUAUCGCUAUUUGUGAAACACACAUGUCUCUCUCGUGUGCUCUUUUGGUGGCUUGUCCACCGAUUGCAUUAAGCACAACUUUCAGCGACGGAUGUCUCGGCUCGAACAACGAUGAAGGGCGCAGCGAAGUGUGAUAAGCAUUGUGAAUUGCAGAAUUCCGUGAACCAAUAGGGAUUUGAACGUAUACUGCGCUUUCGGGACAUUCCUGAAAGCAUGCCUGCUUCAGUGUCUACUGAUAUUCAUGCCUCUGACUCCUGCCAAGUUCUUCUUGGUGCCGUCAGUUGUGCGUGUUUGUGUGUCAAAGAGCUUCGUGCCUUUGACGCAUUCAAUGCAUUGGUGCUGUCCACAACGAACAACUUAAUUAGCACUCUCAGUGUUUCUUUGUUGCUCCGUUGCUGGCGGCUUGCCUUGCGUUCCUCUUGUCUUCAAGACAUGAAGUUAGGUCAGCAAACCCGCUGAAUUUAAGCAUAUCAAUA